rnacentral:rRNA from 1 species
UACGUAGGGUGCGAGCGUUAAUCGGAAUUACUGGGCGUAAAGCGUGCGCAGGCGGUUUUGUAAGCCAGGUGUGAAAUCCCCGGGCUCAGCCUGGGAAUGGCAUUUGGGACUGCAAGGCUGGAGUGCGGCAGAGGAGACUGGAAUUCCUGGUGUAGCAGUGAAAUGCGUAGAUAUCAGGAGGAAUACCGAUGGCGAAGGCAGGUCUCUGGGCUGACACUGACGCUCAUGCACGAAAGCGUGGGGAGCAAACAGG